AAUUGACGGGACCCGCACGAGCGGUGGAUGAUGUGGAUUAAUUCGAUGCAACGCGAAAAACCUUACCUACCCUUGACAUGUCCGGAAUCCCGAAGAGAUUUGGGAGUGCUCGCAAGAGAACCGGAACACAGGUGCUGCAUGGCUGUCGUCAGCUCGUGUCGUGAGAUGUUGGGUUAAGUCCCGCAACGAGCGCAACCCUUAUCAUUAGUUGCUACGCAAGGGCACUCUAAUGAGACUGCCGGUGACAAACCGGAGGAAGUGGGGAUGACGUCAAGUCCUCAUGGCCCUUAUGGGUAGGGCUUCACACGUCAUACAAUGGUCGGUACAGAGGGUUGCCAAGCCGCGAGGUGGAGCCAAUCCCAGAAAGCCGAUCGUAGUCCGGAUUGUUCUCUGCAACUCGAGAGCAUGAAGUCGGAAUCGCUAGUAAUCGCGGAUCAGCAUGUCGCGGUGAAUACGUUCCCGGGUCUU
rnacentral:rRNA from 1 species